rnacentral:rRNA from 1 species
CCUACGGGUGGCAGCAGUGAGGAAUAUUGGUCAAUGGACGCAAGUCUGACCCAGCCAUGCCGCGUGCAGGAAGACGGCCCUAUGAGUUUUAAACUCCUUUUAUUCGAGCGUAAACUCAGAUACGCGUAUCUGUUUGUACGUAUCUUACGAAUAAGGAUCGGCUACCUCCGUGCCAGCAGCCGCGGUAAUACGGAGGAUUCGAGCGUUAUCCGGAUUUAUUGGGUUUAAGGGGAGCGUAGUUGGUUGGAUAAGUUAGUGGUGAAAUCCCGAGGCUCAACUUCGGAAUUGCAUUUGAUACUGGUAGGCUUGAGUAUAGUUGAGGUAGGCGGAAUGCAUGGUGUAGCGGUGAAAUGCUUAGAGAUCAUGAAGAACACCGAUUGCGAAGGCAGCUUACUAAACUGCUUCUGACAUUGAGGCACGAAAGCGUGGGGAGCAAACAGGAUUAGAUACCCUUGUAGUC